AGAGAGAGACAUGCGCGCAUAUCAAUAAGCGGAGGAAAAGAAACUAACAAGGAUUCCCUUAGUAACGGCGAGUGAAGCGGGAAGAGCUCAAAUUUGAAAUCUUCAAGGUUUUACCUUGACGAAUUGUAGUUUAAAGAAGUGUUUUCUGCUGAAGUUUUGGUAAAAGUUCUUUGGAAUAGGACAUCAUAGAGGGUGAGAAUCCCGUAUUUGACCAUUAUUUUCAGCCUUUGUGAUACACUUUCAAAGAGUCGGAUUGUUUGGGAAUGCAGUCCAAAAUGGGUGGUAAAUUUCAUCUAAAGCUAAAUAUUGGCGAGAGACCGAUAGCGAACAAGUACCGUGAGGGAAAGAUGAAAAGGAACUUUGAAAAGAGAGUUAAACAGUACGUGAAAUUGUCAAAAGGGAAGCGUUUGACACCAGUGUUGUUUUCUCGAAAAUCAAUUAAAAAUGGCUCGAUUUUGUAUCGCUUGAGACCUUAAAAGCUCACUGUACAUUUUUCGUGUCUUUUUUAACUGCACUUUUCGUUUAACAAGUCAACAUCAGUUUCUUUUGUUGUAAAAGGGUCAUUGGAAGGUGGCUUUCUUUUCGGAGAAAGUGUUUAUAGCCUUUGGCCUCUGCAAUCGGAGAGACUGAGGUCUGCAGCGUAGACUCUUCGGGGUUAGAUACAUUUGUGCUAAGUUAUAGCUUUUUAUAGACAACUUGUUGACUAUAAUUAGUCUUGUAGCUUACUCGCUUAUGCUAUUUUACCUACGCUUAGGAUGUUGAGUCGUAGAGCACGCAG
rnacentral:rRNA from 1 species